CGGAUUGUGUUACAUACCUUACGUGUUCCUCUUUUACAGAGAUACCACUGGAAUUUUUUUACUUUGUCUUGGUAACAAUUAACAGAUUCUAAUUUUUAUUAAAACUUUAGCAAUUUGAUCAUGUCACUUAUUAAAAGCAUUAUGUUCUAACAUUAGCAAAAAUCUUGAUCUUAAAAUCCAACAGUCUUUUCCUUUAUUAGAUUUAGAACUUACUACCAAAAAAUCUUUGCUACAGAACACAGGCAACUGUUACACUUUGUUAAUGGUCCAAACCCUGCACUUUGCUCUUGUCUUUGCCAGAAUGGAUGUUAUUCUUUUACAGUAGUGUCCUGAUUUGUAUCAAGUGGACAGCACUGAAGGGAUGAGUUGGAGUAG
rnacentral:lncRNA from 1 species